CCUACGGGAGGCAGCAGUAGGGAAUCUUCCGCAAUGGACGAAAGUCUGACGGAGCAACGCCGCGUGAACGAUGAAGGCCUUCGGGUCGUAAAGUUCUGUUGUUAGGGAAGAACAAGUGCUAGUUAAAUAAGCUGGCACCUUGACGGUACCUAACCAGAAAGCCACGGCUAACUACGUGCCAGCAGCCGCGGUAAUACGUAGGUGGCAAGCGUUGUCCGGAAUUAUUGGGCGUAAAGCGCGCGCAGGCGGUUUCUUAAGUCUGAUGUGAAAGCCCCCGGCUCAACCGGGGAGGGUCAUUGGAAACUGGGAAACUUGAGUGCAGAAGAGGAAAGUGGAAUUCCAAGUGUAGCGGUGAAAUGCGUAGAGAUUUGGAGGAACACCAGUGGCGAAGGCGACUUUCUGGUCUGUAACUGACGCUGAGGCGCGAAAGCGUGGGGAGCAAACAGGAUUAGAUACCCUGGUAGUCCACGCUGUAAACGAUGAGUGCUAAGUGUUAGAGGGUUUCCGCCCUUUAGUGCUGAAGUUAACGCAUUAAGCACUCCGCCUGGGGAGUACGGUCGCAGACUGAAACCUUAAAUGAAUUGACGG
rnacentral:rRNA from 1 species